AACGGGUGAGUAACGCGUGAGGAACCUGCCUCUUACAACGGGAUAGCCUCGGGAAACCGGGAUUAAUACCGUAUAAGACUCCGACAUCUCCUGAUGAUGAAGUCAAAGCGUAUGCGGUAAGAGAUGGCCUCGCGUCUGAUUAGUUAGUUGGCGGGGUAACGGCCCACCAAGACGACGAUCAGUAACCGGCCUGAGAGGGUGAACGGUCACAUUGGAACUGAGACACGGUCCAAACUCCUACGGGAGGCAGCAGUGGGGAAUCUUGCACAAUGGGGGCAACCCUGAUGCAGCGACGCCGCGUGAGCGAUGAAGGUUUUCGAAUCGUAAAGCUCUGUCCUAUGGGAAGAUAAUGACGGUACCAUAGGAGGAAGCCCCGGCUAACUACGUGCCAGCAGCCGCGGUAAUACGUAGGGGGCGAGCGUUGUCCGGAAUUACUGGGCGUAAAGGGUUCGCAGGCGGCAUGGCAAGUCCGAUGUAAAAGGCGAAGGCUUAACCUUCGUAAGCAUCGGAAACUGUCAAGCUUGAGUGAAGGAGAGGCAAGUGGAAUUCCUAGUGUAGCGGUGGAAUGCGUAGAUAUUAGGAGGAAUACCGGUGGCGAAGGCGACUUGCUGGACUU
rnacentral:rRNA from 1 species